UACGGAAGGUCCAGGCGUUAUCCGGAUUUAUUGGGUUUAAAGGGAGCGUAGGCUGGAGAUUAAGUGUGUUGUGAAAUGUAGACGCUCAACGUCUGAAUUGCAGCGCAUACUGGUUUCCUUGAGUACGCACAACGUUGGCGGAAUUCGUCGUGUAGCGGUGAAAUGCUUAGAUAUGACGAAGAACUCCGAUUGCGAAGGCAGCUGACGGGAGCGCAACUGACGCUUAAGCUCGAAGGUGCGGGUAUCAAAC
rnacentral:rRNA from 2 species